rnacentral:sRNA from 1 species
UGACCACUUUCUCUGAAAGUUAAGGCCAUACGGACAGCCGGGUCAAAUGCCGA